CCACCAAGCAGCUGGUCUGUCCCAGGAGAGGCCUGGGCAGAAGGGCGUGGCCUAAAACCACCAAGCAGCUGGUCUGUUCCAGGAGAGGCAUGGGGGAGAAGGGCGUGGCCUAAAACCAAGCAGCCGGUCUGUCCCAGUUUGGCUUCCGCUGCUGAGAUAAAACACUGAUAUCAGCUUGGGAAGGAAAGGGGUUACUGCCUCUUACAAUCCAGGUCACUGCACAACUCUGAGGGAGGUCAAGGCAGGAACUCAAGGAGGAAGAGCAAACUAAGCACGGCCUUAAAAGGAAGAAACGAAACUACGCACGCUUAUACCUGUCCUUCCAGCACUGAGCCAGGAAGAUGGCCAUGAGUUCAAGCCUGGGCUCCGUAGUGCGUUCUAGACCAGCCUCAGUGAGAGAGUAAGACCCUGUCUCAAAAGGAUGGUGAUCAUGAUAACGGGCGGAAGAAACAGGAUUCCCUGCAUAGCGCUGGAUUUGCCUCCCUAGUUUCCCCACUGUGCAGGAAUUAAAGCCAAGAGCCAGCCAACACCGGAGUUACCAGGAGUCACCAGCAGGUGGAACCGGUCACCACCACACAGGGCUGAGGGACCAACCACACCACACCCCAAAAUGUACCAGCAAUUAAUCCAGCUCCAGUGCAGACAAAAACAGGUGAUUCAAUAGUGUGUGUGGCCGAGGCCCUCUCUCUCCUAUGGGAGAGUUGACGGGUGAUUCCUACCUGAGGUGAAGGGAGAGACAAUCCAAACGCAGAAGGCCAGAGCAUCCUCAGAGGCCUGGAAGACUGAGACGCAGCCCAGUAUGCUUUGUACUCGCUGCCCCACCGUGGAAAAAGAAAGGAGAGCACUUGAUGCUCUGGGCCUGGGACCUGGAGGUACACAUGACUAGACAUAGA